AUACGGAGGAUGCAAGCGUUAUCCGGAUUUAUUGGGUUUAAAGGGAGCGUAGGUGGGAUAAUAAGUCAGCUGUGAAAGUUUGGGGCUCAACCUUAAAAUUGCAGUUGAUACUGGUUUCCUUGAGUACGGUACAGGUGGGCGGAAUUCGUGGUGUAGCGGUGAAAUGCUUAGAUAUCACGAAGAACUCCGAUCGCGAAGGCAGCUCACCGGGCCGGAACUGACACUGAUGCUCGAAAGUGCGGGUAUCAAACAGGAUUAGAUACCCUGGUAGUCCGCACAGUAAACGAUGAAUACUCGCUGUUUGCGAUACACUGUAAGCGGCCAAGCGAAAGCGUUAAGUAUUCCACCUGGGGAGUACGCCGGCAACGGUGAAACUCAAAGGAAUUGACGGGG
rnacentral:rRNA from 1 species